rnacentral:rRNA from 1 species
GGCGGGGUAACGGCCCACCAAGGCGACGAUGCGUAGGGGUUCUGAGAGGAAGGUCCCCCACACUGGUACUGAGACACGGACCAGACUCCUACGGGAGGCAGCAGUGAGGAAUAUUGGUCAAUGGCCGCAGGGCUGAACCAGCCAAGUCGCGUGAGGGAUGACGGUCCUAUGGAUUGUAAACCUCUUUUGUCAGGGAGCAAAGGGCGCCACGUGUGGCGUUUUGCGAGUACCUGAAGAAAAAGCAUCGGCUAACUCCGUGCCAGCAGCCGCGGUAAUACGGAGGAUGCGAGCGUUAUCCGGAUUUAUUGGGUUUAAAGGGUGCGCAGGCGGAAUGUCAAGUCAGCGGUAAAAUUUCGGGGCUCAACCCCGUCGUGCCGUUGAAACUGGCGUUCUUGAGUGAGCGAGAAGUAUGCGGAAUGCGUGGUGUAGCGGUGAAAUGCAUAGAUAUCACGCAGAACUCCGAUUGCGAAGGCAGCAUACCGGCGCUCAACUGACGCUCAUGCACGAAAGCGUGGGUAUCGAACAGGAUUAGAUACCCUGGUAGUCCACGCAGUAAACGAUGAAUACUAACUGUCCGGGCAGAAUGAUGCCUGG